GACGAACUUUGGCGGCGUGCUUAACACAUGCAAGUCGAACGGAAAGGCCCUGCUUUUGUGGGGUGCUCGAGUGGCGAACGGGUGAGUAACACGUGAGUAACCUGCCCUUGACUUUGGGAUAACUUCAGGAAACUGGGGCUAAUACCGGAUAGGAGCUCCUGCUGCAUGGUGGGGGUUGGAAAGUUUCGGCGGUUGGGGAUGGACUCGCGGCUUAUCAGCUUGUUGGUGGGGUAGUGGCUUACCAAGGCUUUGACGGGUAGCCGGCCUGAGAGGGUGACCGGCCACAUUGGGACUGAGAUACGGCCCAGACUCCUACGGGGGGCAGCAGUGGGGAAUAUUGCACAAUGGGCGGAAGCCUGAUGCAGCAACGCCGCGUGCGGGAUGACGGCCUUCGGGUUGUAAACCGCUUUCGCCUGUGACGAAGCGUGAGUGACGGUAAUGGGUAAAGAAGCACCGGCUAACUACGUGCCAGCAGCCGCGGUGAUACGUAGGGUGCGAGCGUUGUCCGGAUUUAUUGGGCGUAAAGGGCUCGUAGGUGGUUGAUCGCGUCGGAAGUGUAAUCUUGGGGCUUAACCCUGAGCGUGCUUUCGAUACGGGUUGACUUGAGGAAGGUAGGGGAGAAUGGAAUUCCUGGUGGAGCGGUGGAAUGCGCAGAUAUCAGGAGGAACACCAGUGGCGAAGGCGGUUCUCUGGGCCUUUCCUGACGCUGAGGAGCGAAAGCGUGGGGAGCGAACAGGCUUAGAUACCCUGGUAGUCCACGCUGUAAACGGUGGGUACUAGGUGUGGGGUCCAUUCCACGGGUUCCGUGCCGUAGCUAACGCUUUAAGUACCCCGCCUGGGGAGUACGGCCGCAAGGCUAAAACUCAAAGGAAUUGACGGGGCCCCGCACAAGCGGCGGAGCAUGCGGAUUAAUUCGAUGCAACGCGUAGAACCUUACCUGGGUUUGACAUGGAUCGGGAGUGCUCAGAGAUGGGUGUGCCUCUUUUGGGGUCGGUUCACAGGUGGUGCAUGCCUGUCGUCAGCUCGUGUCGUGAGAUGUUGGGUUAAGUCCCGCAACGAGCGCAACCCUUGUUCACUGUUGCCAGCACGUUAUGGUGGGGACUCAGUGGAGACCGCCGGGGUCAACUCGGAGGAAGGUGGGGAUGACGUCAAGUCCUCAUGCCCCUUAUGUCCAGGGCUUCACGCAUGCUACAAUGGCUGGUACAGAGAGUGGCGAGCCUGUGAGGGUGAGCGAAUCUCGGAAAGCCGGUCUCAGUUCGGAUUGGGGUCUGCAACUCGACCUCAUGAAGUCGGAGUCGCUAGUAAUCGCAAAGCAGCAACGCUGCGGUGAAUACGUUCCCGGGGC
rnacentral:rRNA from 1 species